CAAGAACCCAUUUAUUUGAACUGGUUUAUGCAGUAAAACAAAAAGUCCCACACUGCAUUUUGCCUUUUUGGGGGGGGUAAAGAAUUGCUAAUGAUUAUGUUUGUCACCAGUUUUAACUGUGUAAUAUUACAGCAUCCAUUGUCCUUCAGAAUAAGGUCGCAUACAGUCCACCGAGACACACACACAAACGGCAUCACAGGGGCUGUUCCCUCUCUUGCUGAGAAACACUCCCUUCACAAACACUCAUCAGAGGGACUCCAGAAGCCUGUCCCUCUCAUGUUGAGACAGACACAGUCUAAUCAGAGGAGCUCCAGGGGCCCAUCCCGCUCAUUCCACUGGUACUCAGCAGAUGGACAAAAGGAGUGUAAUAUCUGCCAGCUUGAAACAACAUCAGCAAUGAAGAACUGAAAGUAUUGCAUCUGAAAAAAGAAGAAUCAGAGCAUUUCAAGAACUUACAGAAUUGCACAAACUAAUUGUGAACUCAUAAGAAGAAACGUCUUGUUUGGCCACAGGAAUCGUUCACCUACACUAUCUGAGGGUCCUCAAAUCUCAAGUGUUUUAUGAUUUUGUACACAAUCAAAAGCUAAAAGAUCAAUCUACUUUGGGAAUAUCAUCCAUCCUUCCAUGAGCGUAAAGCAAAAGGAUGUCUAUGAUAAAUCCAGUGACAUGAGCACACCAGCCUGAGCAGACAUGCAACGGUCCUGCAACUUUUAUUUUUGCCUUUCAAACUCUUAUAUGCAGUGGCCUGUCAUUUUCUCUGCUCUUCAAAAUAGACAUCGCUGCUUUAGUUGUUGGCUUUGGCAUGCCGGUGACAGAAAUAGAUCAUCAACCUUUUUCCAGUGACUUUGUUGAGUACGUGUCUCACUUGUGUGUGAAUGCUGCCAAUGAGGAAUCAAUUCAGCUGCCUUUGUGUGAGAUCACUCUCAGCUGUGGUCAAAAACAAUAUUUCAGCACUAAUUUCAGCACUGUUACCACAGAAUAAACGCACGUCCUGUUUAUUCACACAACAGUCAGUGUCGUGUAGGGCAGAACAUUCCUAUAGAGCUGUGAUGCUGCUUAAACACUGAUGUCAAAUGGAAUAUGCCACCAACAGGAGUCCAGGCACAAUGAGUUGGCAUUUUUCACCCUGACUCAAUCAUGGAUGAUUCACAUGGACAUAAAUAUGUGAACCAGGCUCUGAGCUUAACAAAAUCUAUACCAAAAUGACUGCCUGUAAAACCAGAGCUCAGUGCCUGCUGUUUCAAGUAUGAAUGCUCUUCUUUUUUUUUUUUUUUUUUUGAUGUGGCAUAAAAAUACAAUUGUGGAGUUUUUCUUGUUAUCUUAGAAUAUAUGGUAGCUACUAAACUAAAACAGGCCUAAGGCCUCAUUUAUAAAGACAUUUCCUAAAUGUUCCUACAAUUCAUAUAAAAGUUCCAUCCUUUAUUGUAUUUCUUUCAGAAAGCCCACAAAUAUCCUUAGAUUUAUUCACUUACUACAUUAACAUGCACAUCAUAGUCUGGUUCAAAAAAUAGUUUCACAAAAUGUGUACUUGACAUAGUAAAACAUCCUGUUAUCUUAUUCUGUAGGUUUUUGGUUUUUACAUUUUUCUGAAAAUAAGACUUGUCGAAUUUAUAUCAAAAUUCAUUUGAAUGUAAACGUUGUCACUCAUUUAUUCAGGAGUAGCUCAUUUGCAUCACCUAAAGUCAUCAGAAUAUUCAGCGCAAAAAUAGGGGGCAUAGACAUACUGAUCAGAAGGCGAACAUUUUCACAGCAGUUUCUUUCUUUAUAAAUUUCCGUUUGUUCGUCAUGUAGGAUCAAAUCCAUGGGAUUUAGCAUCACAUCAUAUGUGCAUUUUAUAAAUGAGGCCUUGAUCAGAAUAGUGUGACAUUUAUGCAAAUCAGAGUAUUACGGUAGCGACCAAGCCAGUUGUUUUAACAUGGUAUGGUUGAUGCAAAACUUUUUGUACAUAAUCAAUACACAACAAUAUUGUUAAUUUCACCCUUCAACUGCUAGUCCAGGGUGAUUAUUGUGGAGUAUCUACUUGACAAGAUUUUGGUGUGCUGCUUUUUGAUCAAUAUGCGAUUGAAUUAAAAUCCUGAACACCCUUGGGCUUUUAAAAAACCAUCUGUUAACAGCCAUUGAAUACACAGUAUCUAUGUUUAACCUCAAUGAUGUCUCUGUUGAAAGUUAUAAAAGAAACAAUCUGUCAUUUCCUAGGAGCUAGACUACUGAAUGGCUGUUUUCUGUAUGUGAUGUCUUAGUUUCCAGUAAAAAUGUCUAAACAUCCUUAAGAUAAAUUGCCUUGAAAGGCAAGUCCUAAAAUAGUAUUUACUGGAAAACAAGACAAAAAUACUGAUUAAUAAAAUGAUUUGUUGCAGUGCUGUUGGCUAUAGUACAAAAGGACUCAGGAUUACAGGAACCCGUCUGGACAUGAUAUUGCGAAAAAUACCAGAAAGCUACUUCAGAAACACAAAGCAUAAGGACAAAGUACACUACAGACAUAAAAGUGUGAUUCAUUUGAUGUGAAGUAUGGAGUACACAGAUCUUUGAGAACAAACUCAGGCAGUUAAGAUGUAUCAGUUCUUGUUUCACCUCAUCUCAGUCUUUAGCCUUUCACUGAUCAUGUAAACUCAAAUAUCAGUCUUGCUGUCCAUGAAAUGGAAUGCAAUUUCAACUACAAAUGGAUUACAAAAUAUUUUAUGGUCAGCACAUGCUGUGCGCUAGAAAUGAUAUAUUUAUUAUGAAAAAAUAUAUUAAAUAGAAACUAUAAAAGCAUAUAUGUAAAAUGAAAGAAUUGUGAUUUUCCUGUGAAAUGGUGAGAAAUGAAGUCUGUACUGUGCACAUUUGUAAAUGCACUUAAUAAUGACUAUUUUCACUUUCAAACUAUAAAUGUUUCAGAGUAUUGUUUUUUGUGACAUGAAAAUAUUAACAAGUCUGUAUGUUUAACGACAGAAUGAUAGAACAAUAGAUAGAAAGAUAGAUAGGCUGAACAAACAUAGAACUGUAGAUAGAUAGACAGGACAAUAAUAGAGAGAAGGACAGGUAGACAGACAAAAUGAUAGAAAUGUCAGAAAGAGAACAAUAACAGACAGAAUAAUAAUUGAUGGAACGAUAGACAGACAGAUAGACGGACAUGUAGAUAGAUAGAACAACCGACAGAACGAUAGAUAGAUAGAUAGAUAUAUAGAUAGAUAGAUAGAUAGAUAGAUAGAUAGAUAGAUAGAUACUCUCAGAAAAGGCAGAUGGCUAGAAAACCAGACAUUUAGCAGAUGUUCAACUGGUCCAUGGUCAAGACAGUCACAAUUACAUUAUUCUGUAAACUGGUGUCCCAUCAGCUGUGAUUGCUGCUGAAGGAUGGUGCUUUGGAGGAAAGGAACAUUAUACACAAUUUUUUAGCCUGUGGAUAUCGGUAAACGAUUGCCAUAUUGAUCGUACAUGCUUUCAGAUUUCAGGGGUUAUUAAAGUUAAUGUGUCUGCGUGCAGUUAGCCCCCAGCUGCACUUUGCUGUAUGUUCAGACCUUACUGAGGUUGAAACAGACUAUAUUUUCUGCUGAACUGAAGAUUGCACAACCAC
ensembl:lncRNA